CCUACGGGUGGCAGCAGUCGAGAAUCAUUCACAAUGGGGGAAACCCUGAUGGUGCGACGCCGCGUGGGGGAAUGAAGGUCUUCGGAUUGUAAACCCCUGUCAUGUGGGAACAAAUUAAAAAGAUAGUACCACAAGAGGAAGAGACGGCUAACUCUGUGCCAGCAGCCGCGGUAAUACAGAGGUCUCAAGCGUUGUUCGGAAUCACUGGGCGUAAAGCGUGCGUAGGCUGUUUCGUAAGUCGUGUGUGAAAGGCGCGGGCUCAACCCGCGGACGGAACAUGAUACUGCGAGACUAGAGUAAGGGAGGGGGAACCGGAAUUCUCGGUGGAGCAGUGAAAUGCGUAGAUAUCGGGAGGAACACUCGUGGCGAAGGCGGGUUCCUGGACAUUAACUGACGCUGAGGCACGAAGGCCAGGGGAGCGAAAGGGAUUAGAUACCCGAGUAGUC
rnacentral:rRNA from 1 species